CCUACGGGAGGCAGCAGUAGGGAAUAUUGCUCAAUGGGGGAAACCCUGAAGCAGCAACGCCGCGUGGAGGAUGAAGGUUUUCGGAUUGUAAACCUCUUUUGUUAGAGAAGAUAAUGACGGUAUCUAACGAAUAAGCACCGGCUAACUCCGUGCCAGCAGCCGCGGUAAUACGUAGGGUGCAAGCGUUACUCGGAAGUACUGGGCGUAAAGGGCGCGUAGGCGGGUUUGCAAGUCAGAUGUGAAAUCCUAGGGCUUAACCAUAGAACUGCAUUUGAAACUGUUAUUCUAGAGUAUGGGAGAGGUAGGUGGAAUUCGUGGUGUAGGGGUGAAAUGCGUAGAGAUCAAGAGGAACACUAAUGGCGAAGGCGACCUGCUAGAACAUAACUGACGCUGAUGCACGAAAGCGUGGGGAGCAAACAGGAUUAGAUACCCUUGUAGUC
rnacentral:rRNA from 1 species